AUUCGUUAUAUUUUUUCAGUUUUUUCCGAUGAAGGCGAAAACGCAAGUCAGUCAGCUGAAAAUGUGAAUAGUGUUCAUGGUCGUGAUACUGCCGCUUAGGUGUAAGAGAUGGUCAUUGGUGAAAAAUGCCGAUAUAAGAAUGGAAACCCAGGAAUUAGACAUUUCACAAAAAAAAGCUUGGAGCUAAUUGAGAUCGGUAAUGGUCAUAGGGCAACGUCUUCAAGCCAGGAUUGACCGUUUGGAAAAUUCGGGCCUGUACUGUCAGCAAUUGAGCCGUCUGAAGGAAACAAUCGUCCCAAUAUGCCCAGCUAAGAAGAGGGGAAUGUGUUCAUUAGGACAACACCAGAAAAAGAUCGAUAUUGACUUGGUAGAAGCUCCGAGAGCUGGUUAGGAAGUUCUUAGGCAUUCACCUUACCAUCUCUUCCCUUGGCUGUAUUGUACCAGGUUUUUGCCAAUAGAGACAACUGGUUCUGUAAAAGAGGCAUAAAGACAUUACCUCCAAAUGGCAAAAAUUUAUCAAGAAAAACUAUGAUAAAUAAAGCCUUCAUUUUAAUGAGAGAAUGACUUCAAAUUUAAUCGAGGCAUUCAAAUUGAAAUUUUAGUAAAAGACCUUGACAAAUAAGAAGCAUCAAGACUUGGCUAAAAUACUCAACAUUGUGGCGACAUAUAUCCAUGUAAUGCAACCGAAACUCUGCAACGGCAAACGACGUGCCGUCCAAAAUUUACAGAGGAACGUAAUAGAAUCAACGAUGAAUGAAAGGAUAUCCAAUGUUUCAUAUUAAAACAUUCUUUGAGUAUGUGUCACAGCGAAGCGUUGCAAAGUACAGGAUUCUUGUAGCCCGAAAUGCAAUAAUUUUGCUUAUUUACUCAUCAUCCGAGUGAGAAAUAUACCCCUUUGCUGAACAAAAUUUUGUUAAAAAAAUCGCCGUCCACUACUUGUUGUUCAAGCACCCAA